AUUGUUCUAGGUUUCUAGCUUAUCCCAGGGAUGCCCACCCCCCAUUCCAGUUUUCUCUCCGAGUACUUUCCCCCUUCAUCCUCCCCACACCUGAUCCCUCCUGUUCCCAUCCCCCCUCUGCACCCCCAUCCACCACACCACAAGAACACUGCUCAGCUAUGUUCACAACAGCUAGAAACCGGAAACUUUUUAUUUUACAUACAUGGAUGUUUUGUCUGCAUAUGUGGCAUGUAUGUAUGUGUGAGGGUGUCAUAUCCUCUGGAACUAGAGUUACAGGCAGUUGUGAGCUGCCAUGUGGGCUCUAGGAUUGAACCUGGAUCCUUUGGAAGAGCAGCCAGUGCUCUUAACUACUGAGCCCUAUCUCCAGCCCUGACUACUCCCCACCCCCCCAAAAAAAAAAUCUUAAAAAACCAAUUCUCUGAUGACCACUUUUGCUUAGAAAAAUAGUUUUGUUUUUUCAGAUGACGUUCACACGGCCUGCCAACCACAGACAACUCACUUUUGAGGAAAUUGCCAAAAGUGCCAAGAUCACUGUCAACAAGGUGGAGCUGUUGGUGAUGAAGGCACUCUCGGUGGGGCUGGUGAGAGGCAGCAUAGACGAGGUGGACAAGCGGGUUCACAUGACGUGGGUGCAGCCUCGAGUGCUGGAUUUGCAGCAGGUAAGGGGGCUGAGCCCCUGCCCUUUGUGGACUUGGGUACACCAGUGCUGUCCUAGUUUUAUGUGGACGGAAGCCACUUAGGAAGCGGACACUGUCCCACACAAGGUGCUGCAGAUGGGAUUACUGCUGUGGGGGCCUAGGGGAGCAGCCCUGAGGCCUGAGCCCUGCACUUACAGGCUUACUGUGACAACAGUGCUGCUGUGCUGCUGCUGCCUCCUAAUCCUCAAAUUGGUGCUUGCACAGACAUGUUCCUGGUUUUGUGAUUUGAUCCCACGCCCUAUCAUAUUUUCCGGACAUUUAAUCCUGUGAUUUCCUCCAUUCUUUUUCUUUCAUGUGAGUUUUUAGAAUGUCCUCGUGAUCAGAAUUGGCACGGUGAUUCCAUCACACCCCCACCUUCAGCUCUGUCGCCCUUAGCAUUUCCCCAAAAGGCAUUAGAGGUUUAGCACUCCCACACAGACUCCCGUGCAGCCUGACACCCAUGUGAUCCUGACUUGCCUUUAGAUCAAGGGGAUGAAGGACCGUCUGGAGCUCUGGUGCACUGAUGUGAAGAGCAUGGAGCUGCUGGUAGAACACCAGGCUCAAGACAUCCUCACCUAACGCCCCAGGGUCCUGCAGACCCGCCUCACCCUGCCUCACCCUGCAAGGUGACCCCCGAAACCAUCAGCAGAGAUCUGUAUUCAUUUGGGAUGGAGUUUGGGAUCCUGCUAGGAGUGGGAACUGUUCUUGCUAUAAAUGCAGAGAUCUGUCACUGAUGGGGGUGUGACUACUUGGAGAAGGCUCCUGUGUGGGGUCUUUUGUAGCCCGCAAGCCGUGGGAGGGGGGCUCCAGGCCUAGGUGAUGAGGAAGGGCAUGAAUGGGAAUGGGGACAGAGUAGUCUCCACCCAAAUCCACCUGAGUGGACCUUUCCAGUGUGGUCUGAGAGUGCUUCUAUAAUAAAUGCCUUUGCAUUGUUC
rnacentral:lncRNA from 1 species